rnacentral:rRNA from 1 species
AGCAGUAGCCCGGUAAUACAGAGGGUGCAAGCGUUAAUCGGAGUUACUGGGCGUAAAGGGCGCGUAGGCGGUUAUAUAAGUGAGAUGUGAAAUCCCUGGGCUUAACCUAGGAACUGCAUCUUAUACUGUAUGGCUAGAGUAUUGUAGAGGGUAGUGGAAUUUCCGGUGUAGCGGUGAAAUGCGUAGAGAUCGGAAGGAACACCAGUGGCGAAGGCGGCUACCUGGACAAUAACUGACGCUGAUGCACGAAAGCUAGGGGAGCAAACAGGAUUAGAUACCCCCGUAGUCCCUGUCUCUUAUACA